GGAGUUGUAGCUCAGUGGUAGAGUACUUGCCUAGCACACUUAAGGCCCUGGGUUCAAUCCCCAACAACACAA
rnacentral:tRNA from 1 species